GGUGGCUCAGUGAUAGAGCACUUGCUUUGCAUGCAUGAGGCCCUGAGUUUGAAUCCUUAGCACCA
rnacentral:tRNA from 1 species